rnacentral:misc_RNA from 1 species
UCUCCGUAGGUGAACCUGCGGAGGGAUCAUUACUGAGUGAGGGCCUUCGGGCUCGACCUCCAACCCUUUGUGAACACAACUUGUUGCUUCUGGGGCGACCCUGCCGUUUCGAUGGCGAGCGCCCCCGGAGGCCUUCAAACACUGCAUCUUUGCGUCGGAGUUUAAAACAAAUUAAACCAACCUUUCACCAACGGAUCUCUUGGUUCUGGCAUCGAUGAAGAACGCAGC